AUUGGUAGUAGCUUCUAGAAAAUAUCAUAGGAAGGCCACACUUUUUUUUUUCUCCUUGGGCUUACAUAUUCUUUCCCCUCCAAGCCCAUAUAUUUUGUUAUAGAGAAACCCUACAGAUACAGGGGAUUAGAGACAUAGGAACAGAGAAAAAUUAGGGAAGUACGUAACCUUUUCUUUCUUCUCCAGCAUCGACAAUACCAUUUUCUCAUCACCCAAGAAUUCUCAUCUACUCACCUAAUCUCUAACAAAAAACACCAGCGACCAGACCACCUAGAAACAGCCCCAGAAAAGCACAAAAUCGACCCGAAUCAGCCCCAGAAAUGCUGAAAUUCAGCUCCCAAAACAGCUCCAAACUCAGCCACUCAAAACAAGCAAAAUAGUUGCAAAAAUGACUCAAAAACACAGCCACGAAACUCCUUUCCACCUGAAACCAACGUGAAAAUUGGCCAAAACGCGGCUGAAAAUCAGCUGAAAUCUGACAUUGAAAUGCACCAAAAAUCAGCCGCGAAUCAGCUCGAAACCAACUGUUUUCAUCCAUAAAUUAAGCAAGGUCCGACUCUGUCACCUCGAUUUUGGUCGAGUUAGAAGAGGUCGAAGUUUGAGCAAAAGGUGAUGAAUUCGUGGAUGUUCGUUUGAAUGCCGUCGGGGUUUGAAGUGUCUGUUUUGGUGCUCAUUUGGCAGAUUACGCUUCUGUUCGUCGAGCUUUAGUUACUGCCUUCAAGUGUAUUAUUUUUCAAACAUCAAAUUGAUUGAAACUUCAUCUUCCAGGUUUACAUGUUCGGUGGGUGUCUUGACCUGGCCUCGUCACUACUCUACCGAGGUUAGGCUUGAUACUUACUGGGUACUACUAUGGUGUACACAUGCUAUGCUUCUGCACAUUUUUUUGUGCAGAACCAGAUACUUCGGAUCGAGUUGGUUUUGAGACUUAUGCUUUGUGGCUGGAGACUUCAAGGUACACCUGCGGAGCGUUCGCAGGCUCCGAAGUCACCCUCUAUUGUAUUUAUUUCCAUUGUUUCCUUCUAUUCCGGAACAGUGAUGUAUUCAAUAUGUCUAAUUACUUCUAGAAGGGCUUAUGACUUGUACUACCGGUUUUGGGAUACCGUAUCAUGUUGAGACUA